CGUAGGACACAAGCGUUAUCCGGAGUUACUGGGCGUAAAGGGCGUGUAGGCGGAUUGGUAAGUCUGCUCUGAAAGCUCCUGGCUAAACUGGGAGAGGCGAGCGGAGACUGUCGGUCUAGAGUGAGGAAGAGGAAAGUGGAAUUCCGCGUGUAGUGGUGAAAUGCGUAGAGAUGCGGAGGAACACCAGUGGCGAAAGCGGCUUUCUGGUCCUUAACUGACGCUCAGACGCGACAGCUAGGGUAGUAAACGGGAUUAGAGACCCCGGUAAUCCUAGCCGUAAACGAUGUGAACUUGGCGUCGGUGGCUUAAACACCAUCGGUGCCGAAGCAAACGCGAUAAGUUCACCGCCUGGGGACUACGGCCGCAAGGUUA
rnacentral:rRNA from 1 species